rnacentral:rRNA from 1 species
GUGCCAGCCGCCGCGGUAAUACGGAGGGUGCUAGCGUUGUUCGGAAUUAUUGGGCGUAAAGAGCGUGUAGGCGGCCAGGUAAGUCAGAUGUGAAAACCCUUGGCUUAACCAAGGAAGUGCAUUUGAAACUGUCUGGCUUGAGUACGGGAGGGGAAAGCGGAAUUCCCGGUGUAGAGGUGAAAUUCGUAGAUAUCGGGAGGAACACCGGUGGCGAAGGCGGCUUUCUGGACCGAUACUGACGCUGAGACGCGAAAGCGUGGGGAGCAAACAGGAUUAGAUACCCGCGUAGUCC